rnacentral:rRNA from 1 species
CAACUCGCCUGCAUGAAGUCGGAAUUGCUAGUAAUCGCGGAUCAGCAUGCCGCGGUGAAUACGUUCCCGGGCCUUGUACACACCGCCCGUCACACCAUGGGAGUCGGUAACACCCGAAGCCGAUAGUCUAACGAAAGAGGACGUCGUCGAAGGUGGGAUUGAUGACUGGGGUGAAGUCGUAACAAGGUACC